GAUUUAUACCUAUUCGAAGGGAUAGGUCGGUUCGGCCGGAUUUUACACAGGAGUUGCAUGGCUGUCGUCAGCUCGUGUCGUGAGUGUUGGGUUAAGUCCCGCAACGAGCGCAACCCUCAUCCUUAGUUGCCAUCAGGUAAUGCUAGCACUUUAAGGAAACUGCCAGUGAUAAGCUGGAGGAAGAUGGGGAUGAUGUCAAGUCAUCUGGCCUUUAUGAAGUGGGCUACACACGUGCUACAAUGGUGUCUACAGUGGGCUGCAAGGUGCAAGCCUAAGCUAAUCCCUAAAAGACAUCUCAGUUCGGAUUGUACUCUGCAACUCGAGUCGAAGUUGGAUCGCUAGUAAUCGUGGAUCAGCAUGCCACGGUGAAUACGUCCUCGGGUCUUACACACUGCCCGUU
rnacentral:rRNA from 1 species